GACGAACGCUGGCGGCGUGCUUAACACAUGCAAGUCGAGCGGUAAGGCCCUUUCGGGGGUACGACGAGCGGCGAACGGGUGAGUAACACGUGGAUAACCUGCCUGGAAGUGGGGGAGUAACCUGGGGAAACGUCGGGCUAAUACCGCAUACGUUCGCGAGGUCACGGCCUGGCGAACAAAGAUGGCCUCUGCUUGCAAGCUAUCGCUUCCAGAGGGGUCCGCGCCUGAUUAGCUAGUUGGUAGGGAACGGCCUACCAAGGCGAUGAUCAGUAGCCGGCCUGAGAGGGUGAUCGGCCACACUGGAACUGAGACACGGUCCAGACUCCUACGGGAGGCAGCAGUGGGGAAUAUUGGACAAUGGGCGCAAGCCUGAUCCAGCAACGCCGCGUGGAGGACGAAGGUCUUCGGAUCGUAAAC
rnacentral:rRNA from 1 species